rnacentral:rRNA from 1 species
UCUGGGAUUAGAUACCCCACUAUGCCUGGCCCUAAAUCCUGAUGUUUAUAAUAACCAAAACAUCCGCCCGGGUACUACGAGCACAAACGCUUAAAACCCUAAGGACUUGGCGGUGCCCCAAACCCACCUAGAGGAGCCUGUUCUGUAAUCGAUACCCCACGAUACACCCGACCACCCCUUGCCAAAAAUCAGCCUACAUACCGCCGUCGCCAGUCCACCUCCCAUGAAAGUCCCACAGUGGGCACAACAGUCAACUUC